rnacentral:rRNA from 1 species
GAUGCAGCGACGCCGCGUGAGGGAUGACGGCCUUCGGGUUGUAAACCUCUUUCAGUAAGGAAGAAGCGAAAGUGACGGUACUUGCAGAAGAAGCGCCGGCUAACUACGUGCCAGCAGCCGCGGUAAUACGUAGGGCGCGAGCGUUAUCCGGAAUUAUUGGGCGUAAAGAGCUCGUAGGCGGUUUGUCGCGUCUGCCGUGAAAGUCCGGGGCUUAACUCCGGAUCUGCGGUGGGUACGGGCAGGCUAGAGUGCAGUAGGGGAGACUGGAAUUCCUGGUGUAGCGGUGAAAUGCGCAGAUAUCAGGAGGAACACCGAUGGCGAAGGCAGGUCUCUGGGCUGUAACUGACGCUGAGGAGCGAAAGCAUGGGUAGCGAACAGGAUUAGAUACC